UAUAUGAUAGGCCACAAAAUAAGUCUCUUACUCCUGCAAGAAUGGCCAUAAUUAAAAAAUAAAAAAACAAUAGAUGUUGGUGUGGAUGUGGUGAAAAGGGAACAAUCAACAAAUUAUAUCCCAUUGUAUGAAAUAAACCAUGCAUCCAUGUUGAUCUAAGUAAAUGAAUAAAUUGAAGAUUUUAUGAGGAACAGAGAUAUUUACAUAGUCUUAAAUUACCUCCCCACAAUAUAUGAAUUAAUUACAAGAUGAAAAAGUAACACUGCAGAAAAGAAAUCCAGCAGAUACCAUCAAUUGUCAAUGCUAAUAUCACCAGUAAUAAGACAAAUCAAAAUUAUAGGUUAUAUGGUAGGAUGCAAUGAGAAGAUCCCAGGAUCACCUCUGAGAUACUCUUGCUGAAAAUAACACAAUCUAAAUCUAAUCAUAAUGAAACAUCAGGAAAAAACAACUGAGAGACAUUCUAUACUCUGAACUUUACUCUUCAAAAGAUUCAAAGCCAUGAAGUCAAGGAAACCUGAGGAACUGCUCCAGACUGAAGGAGUGUAAGAGACACAACAUCUACAUGCAACCAAUGGCUCUGAAUGGGAUCCGUCUGCUAUAAAGGACAUGACAGACAAUUAAUAAAAGCUCAAAAGAAGCUGAAGAUUGAAUGACAUGAUGUAUUAAAGUUAACUUACUGAUUAUCAAGGUUGUUAUGUAGAGUGUCCUGACUUGUGGGAAUACCUACUAAAGCAAUCAGGAGUGCUGGCCUAAUGUCAGCAAUUUACUCUCACAUGGUUCGGGGGGAAAUUAUUUGUAAUAUAACUUGGAACUUUUCUAUAAUUUUAAGAGUGUUUCCAAAAGGUUCACAAAUAAAAAUAAAAAUAAAAAUAAAUAAACAGAAAAGGUGAAAAGCCUAAGGCAACUCCUAUAUUUCCAGGAGAAAAGAUCUACAUACAUCAGUGCUUAAAAUUAAGAUUAUGUAAGUUCGACAGCACUGUAACAGUUGACAUACAUCCAAACAUUGACAAUGACCACAGUAUCAAUAUGUCAAAAGGAUGUCUGUCUAAAUCAAAAUCUAUCACCAUAGAAAAAUUAUAAAAUAAGAAUAAACCAUCUAACUCCACUGAAGUAUUAAUGACAACUUAGCUGUUUGGCUGUUUAACCAGCUGGCAUUUUGAAAGUUUGAGUAUGUACAACUCAAUAAUACUAGUUUUCCUUUUCUUUUCUUUCUUUUUUUUUUUUUUUUUUUUUUUUUGAGACGUAGUCUUGCUCUAUCGCCCAAGCUAGAGUGCAGUGGCACGAUCUUGGCUCACUGCAACCUCCACCUCCUGGGUUCAAGCGAUUCUCCUGCCUCAGCCUCCUGAGUAGCUGGGAUUAAAGGUGUGCCACCACACCCGGCUAAUUUUUGUAUUUUUAGUAGAGACGGGGUUUCACCAUGUUGGUCAGGCUGGUCUUGGCCUGACCUCAUGAUCCAUCCACCUCGGCCUCACAAGUGCUGGGAUUACAGGUGUGAGCCACGACGCCCGGCCAAUAAUACUAGUUUACCUUUGUAAGAUCCAUUUGAGAGUUACUCAAGAGGACCAAGAAUUAUUACUUUAAAUACUAUAUAAGUUUUCAUCAGACAGGCAUGAUACAAAAAUACUUUCCUUUAAUAAAGAUUUUCACAUCAUAUACAUAAUGGGAAGCAAAAUGUCAGGUAAACAGACCAAUAAUUACAUUCUACUAUCUUUCA
rnacentral:lncRNA from 1 species